CACGUAGGGUGCGAGCGUUGUCCGGAAUUAUUGGGCGUAAAGAGCUCGUAGGCGGUGUGUCGCGUCGGCCGUGAAAACCUGCAGCUUAACUGUGGGCGUGCGGUCGAUACGGGCAUCACUGGAGUUCGGCAGGGGAGACUGGAAUUCCUGGUGUAGCGGUGAAAUGCGCAGAUAUCAGGAGGAACACCGGUGGCGAAGGCGGGUCUCUGGGCCGAUACUGACGCUGAGGAGCGUAAGCGUGGGGAGCGAACAGG
rnacentral:rRNA from 1 species